GAUGAACGCUGGCGGCGUGCCUAAUACAUGCCAGUCGAGCGAACGGACGAGAAGCUUGCUUUUCUGAUGUUAGCGGCGGACGGGUGAGUAACACGUGGAUAACCUACCUAUAAGACUGGGAUAACUUCGGGAAACCGGAGCUAAUACCGGAUAAUAUUUUGAACCGCAUGGUUCAAAAGUGAAAGACGGUCCUGCUGUCACUAUAGAUGGAUCCGCGCUGCAUUAGCCAGUUGGUAAGGUAACGGCUUACCAGGGCAACGAUGCAUAGCCGACCUGAGAGGGUGAUCGGCCACACUGGAACUGAGACACGGUCCAGACUCCUACGGGAGGCAGCAGUAGGGAAUCUUCCGCAAUGGGCGAAAGCCUGACGGAGCAACGCCGCGUGAGUGAUGAAGGUCUUCGGAUCGUAAAACUCUGUUAUUAGGGAAGAACAUAUGUGUAAGUAACUGUGCACAUCUUGACGGUACCUAAUCAGAAAGCCACGGCUAACUACGUG
rnacentral:rRNA from 1 species